AAACAGGAUGGCAUGGAACUCGCGCAUUAAAGACAACGACGUCGAACUUCAUCCUUCACUACAAAACUCACAAAGUGACUUGGGACUUGCUUGAGACCUGCACAUAUGUGACUUACUCCAACCUCUGCUACAUGAGUUAUAGGGCUUCUCACCGCUAAUAGGAAGGUCUUCACUGUCUUGUUUGUCAUCAUACUCAUCAUCAUCAUCAUCAUCAUCAUCAUCAUCAUCAGAUGGACUUGUUGAAAUACUCUGUUUUUCCACACUAUCAUCACUACACACACACACACACACACACACACACGCACACACACACAUCAGGUACACGUUUGACUAUUUUUACAAAAGAAAAAUACAGUUGACCUUCAGAACUCAAAUGGUUUGGCAAUGGUUUGUUUUGUGCCCGCAUUUUAUUUUGCCUAAUAUGUGUAAAUGGAAAGUAUUUGCCGAGGGGACCAGUGCUAAGUCAAAUUAUGUACUCCUGCCUAACACUUAAAAUUGUGAACAUUUAACUUCUAGUUAAUGUUAGAUGUUUUGUAUCUUGUUUCAGCUUCGGUCGUAUUUUUAAAGUGCUCUAUAAAAAAAGCAGAGUUGGGUUCAAAUGGUUCAACUCUAUUUCAUUAAUUGUGUGGGGUGAAUAACUGAACUUUGAGCUGCCGAUUGCAGUGAAUUAUGAUAGGUUACUCAGGGCCACUGUAAUUCACAAAGAGGUGAAUAAAAAAAAAAACUG